GACGAACGCUGGCGGCGUGCUUAACACAUGCAAGUCGAACGAUCCCGAGACUUCGGUCUCAAUGGGAGAGUGGCGAACGGGUGAGUAACACGUGAGAAACCUGCCCCGGAGACUGGGAUAACCCGAGGAAACUCGGGCUAAUACCGGAUGUCUUCCGACCAUCGCAUGGUGGACGGAAGAAAUGGUCCGCCGCUCUGGGAGGGUCUCGCGGCCUAUCAGCUUGUUGGUGAGGUAAUGGCUCACCAAGGCAUCGACGGGUAGCUGGUCUGAGAGGACGAUCAGCCACACUGGGACUGAGACACGGCCCAG
rnacentral:rRNA from 1 species